rnacentral:rRNA from 1 species
UACGUAGGGUGCGAGCGUUGUCCGGAUUUAUUGGGCGUAAAGAGCUCGUAGGCGGCUCAGAAAGUCGGGUGUGAAACCUCCAGGCUCAACCUGGAGACGCCACCUGAUACUGCUGUGGCUAGAGUCCGGUAGGGGAACACGGAAUUCCCCGGUGUAGCGGUGAAAUGCUUAGAUAUCGGGAGGAACACCAGUGGCGAAGGCGGUGUUCUGGGCCGGAACUGACGCUGAGGAGCGAAAGCGUGGGGGAGCAAACAGG